rfam:Lactobacillus composti DSM 18527 = JCM 14202 strain DSM 18527 NODE_28, whole genome shotgun sequence.
UGGCCAGUAGUUCAGUGGUAGAAUGCCAGACUGUUAAUCUGUGGGUCGUUGGUUCGAAUCCAACCUGGCCAG